rnacentral:lncRNA from 1 species
UUUCCUUGUUUAGGAAGACAAGACUAGUUCCUUUCUGUUCUAAAAAUACUGGCAUUGGCAAUAAAAUAUGAGUUCUCCAGGGAUGAAACCACUGUGGAAUCUUCCGGCAUUAAUAAAUCAGUCUUCAUCAUACAGACCUACAGCUGGGGAUCUGUGAACCCUAUUAUGGGAGCUCUUAAAAACGUGCCAAAGUCAAGAAAAACUGAAGCAGCACAGAAGCAAACAUUUCUCUUGUUCUUUCAGCUAUUUGUAGGAAGAGCAGUUCCAAUUCUGCGACAUCAGACUGGUCUGAGGAAGAGCUACACUGGUUGAUUAUUGCAGGAAUGAAAGGCACUCUGACCUUGUCAAC